rnacentral:rRNA from 1 species
AUUGAACGCUGGCGGCAGGCCUAACACAUGCAAGUCGAACGGUAACAGGAAACAGCUUGCUGUUUCGCUGACGAGUGGCGGACGGGUGAGUAAUGUCUGGGAAACUGCCUGAUGGAGGGGGAUAACUACUGGAAACGGUAGCUAAUACCGCAUAACGUCGCAAGACCAAAGAGGGGGACCUUCGGGCCUCUUGCCAUCGGAUGUGCCCAGAUGGGAUUAGCUAGUAGGUGGGGUAACGGCUCACCUAGGCGACGAUCCCUAGCUGGUCUGAGAGGAUGACCAGCCACACUGGAACUGAGACACGGUCCAGACUCCUACGGGAGGCAGCAGUGGGGAAUAUUGCACAAUGGGCGCAAGCCUGAUGCAGCCAUGCCGCGUGUAUGAAGAAGGCCUUCGGGUUGUAAAGUACUUUCAGCGGGGAUGAAGGGAGUAAAGUUAAUACCUUUGCUCAUUGACGUUACCCCCAGAAGAAGCACCGGCUAACUCCGUG